rnacentral:rRNA from 1 species
UACGAACCGUACAAACGUUAUUCGGAAUCACUGGGCUUAAAGGGUGCGUAGGCGGCCAUGUAAGUGAGGUGUGAAAUCCCUCGGCUCAACCGAGGAACUGCGCUUCAUACUGCAUGGCUUGAGGGAGACAGGGGUAAGCGGAACUGAUGGUGGAGCGGUGAAAUGCGUUGAUAUCAUCAGGAACACCGGUGGCGAAAGCGGCUUACUGGGUCUCGUCUGACGCUGAGGUACGAAAGCUAGGGUAGCGAACGGG